CCCGUGAUACUAGUUAUUCAAGACAUGCUCAUUGGCAUGAGUACCAGCUACUGCUUAAUGGAUGCAGUAGCUCUUGAGGAACUCUAAUGAUUUCCCUGGAACUUCAUUCUGUAUGUUCCACUGAGGCUGAAUGUGAAAAAUAAUGCAUUAUCAAGCAACACAUUCCUUACCUCGCCAUGAAGCUUCCCGAGUUAGCGGAUCCUUUCUGUUCUCCAUUUUGUUUCCUUUUAAUAAGUUGGAUAUCUGUCUCCAAUGAUAUUGCUUGCUUUGAUCAACUCGUCGAUCUCCUUCAUGUCUUCAGCAGAAAAUGGAGGUAGGGUUUGCAAAUUCUCUGACACCCGCUCUUUCGAUUUGGCUGAUGGUAUCGGGAUAAUUGUGGGCAUGUUUUUGUCAUUGUUGAGGGUCCUGACCCAAUUCAAUGCGGCCUGAGCGGGGGUUAUCUUCUUUCUUUCAGCAAAUGAUAUAACGUCAUCAACAAAUUUCUGGUUGGCGGCCAGAGCGGCCUCUUGAAAUCUCGGUAGGUAAUUACGGAUGUCGCCCUGGGGAAUGUCGGAGGGCUUGGCGAUCCUGCGCGUCAGUGCCCCCCUGCCCAGCGGAGAGUAAGCCACAAUGGGUAUUCCAAGCUCUGCACAGGUCGUCGCCACUCCGUUUUCAAGGAUAUCGGGACUCCACAGCGAUAGUUCAACUUCGACUGCUGCAAUUGGAUGGACCUUGUGCCUGUGAUACUUGAAGUUAGAUGCAUUCCCCGGCCUGCUGGAUGUCGAUACUUACGCCCGUCGUAUGGUUUCUGCGUCCACCUCGCUCAGGCCGAUACCUUUGAGCUUUCCUUCUUUCACCAUCUUUGCGAGGUGGCCGAUGGUUUCUUCUACUGGGUACUUUGGGUCCAAUCGAGAGAUGUGAAACAGGUCAAGCUCUUUUACGCCAUCUAGGACCCUCAAACACUCAUCCACACUUGUUCGGAGAUUUUCUUCAGACCCGUCUGGAGCGAGUUCGUCUCGUGCCAUACCUCCUUGGAUGCUAAGGACAACUUUGUCAGCUGCCUCUGGGUGUUGGGUGAAAAAUUUAUGGAUGAUGUGAAGAGAGUUGUGUUCCGGGGUGCCGUAUAUUUCGCCGCCGUUCCAGAGGUUGGCCCCAAGGGAUAAUGCUGCAUUCAUUGCCUCAGUAUAUUUGGGCUCCGGAGUUGGUUGUGCACACCAUGUGAAUCCUAUUUCCGUCGCCAAUGGUUGAGCGAAUGCCCCAUAGCUCUAAGAGUGGGAUUGGCGACUCACCCAUGAGGCCAUAGCCAGUUGGGCCAACCUCUUUUCCGACAACGGUAGGCAUUUUAUAGAGCGUUGUGGAAAGGAAAUUGAAAAAUUGAAAAAAUUGAAUCGGUUUGUUGGGAUGUUAUCAAGAUAGCUUUUGAAAUCAAAUUUGACGUUCCGAAUGAUGAAUUUUAUACUUAAAUCAGCUUCAGCUUUCUUGACUAUUUGGAAUGGGCGUGCACGUGGAUUUUCUUAUCUUGCCAAUUCAUCGUAGUGGCGAAGGAACAAGCACUGGGGGCUGGAAGAAUAGUUAGACAACACCGAUACAUCCAUCGAAAACGCUCCUCAUGAUAAAAAGAAUAUCUCACCAGGUGAUGCUUUACGCUUACAAAGCACAGCUAUCGGGUAGAACAUCAGAACAGGUUUGCAAACGCUUUCAUUCAGCAGCAGAGGGUAUCUCCAAGGUAUUUUACUCUUCUCUACGCUUUAAUUACACCGAACAAACAUCAAUACAAAAGUACUCUUUGAGCUGAUUUCACCUGAUUGAAUUAGUAAUGUGCAAGCGUAUUCCACCAUUCCUUAAACUUUAUGAUAGUUCAAUUGGAAAUAUCCGAGGCGGGAUUAUUCUCCAAUUGCAAAAACUCUCCGAUACACGGACCUCACGCAGCUGGCACCAACAAGGCUAGAAAUAUCUGAGGCGGGAGUUUGAACCGGAACACGCUUGGCUCAGCUGUCCAUACAGGGUUGGAGCCGGCCAAGGUGGGAAUACAAGUCCUAGGAGAAGAACUUUUCGAAUGUCCGGAAAAAGAUGUCGGAUGCAACGUUGUUGUAUUGUUGCCCAACGGUCCGAAGAGAGAACUGAGGGGUCUGGCGGCAUCAAGACUAGGGUUCCCUGCAACAGAGUCGAUAACGGGCACCUGGUUCUGCUUCCUAGCGAGCACACAAAGCAAUGUGAGAUUAUGCUGGUAUAACGCCUCAUCUGUAGUCAACACUGAUCUCUGAAAUAGGAGUAAAGAUACAGAAGAGCAAAGCCUGUGGAGUGCUCUUUACUCCUCCUGUUUUUCUUUUUUUUCUUUUUUUCUUCCCAGAAAGAAGGAAAGAAAAAACUGAUCGAUUCUUUGCCCAAAAGGAUAUCCGCCCCGCAAGGAUUAGAUGAUAACUUGUUAAUUCCGAAAUAUUCGUCUACCAAAAUCAAUGGAUGUCCUUCACCUUCAGGGUCAAUCAGCAGCUAUGUACGGGGCUCCCUAGAUAAGUUAUAUCAAUGUUUGUACUGUACAAUGCAAGUUCUUGAGCAAUAGUGGAAGGAAUGAAUAUUCAGAAGG
rnacentral:sRNA from 2 species